AGCGAACGCUGGCGGCAGGCUUAACACAUGCAAGUCGAGCGGGCCCUUCGGGGUCAGCGGCCGACGGGUGAGUAACGCGUGGGAACGUGCCCUUCGGUUCGGAAUAACUCAGGGAAACUUGAGCUAAUACCGGAUACGCCCUUAUGGGGAAAGGCUUGCUGCCGAAGGAUCGGCCCGCGUCUGAUUAGCUAGUUGGUGAGGUUAUGGCUCACCAAGGCGACGAUCAGUAGCUGGUCUGAGAGGAUGAUCAGCCACACUGGGACUGAGACACGGCCCAGACUCCUACGGGAGGCAGCAGUGGGGAAUAUUGGACAAUGGGGGCAACCCUGAUCCAGCCAUGCCGCGUGAGUGAUGACGGCCUUAGGGUUGUAAAGCUCUUUUCUCCGGGACGAUAAUGACGGUACCGGAGGAAUAAGCCCCGGCUAACUUCGUG
rnacentral:rRNA from 1 species